UACGGAGGGUGCAAGCGUUAAUCGGAAUCACUGGGCGUAAAGCGCACGUAGGCGGUGUCGUAAGUCGGAUGUGAAAUCCCUCGGCUCAACCGGGGAACUGCAUUCGAUACUGCGAUGCUUGAGUGCCGGAGAGGGUGGCGGAAUUCCAGGUGUAGGAGUGAAAUCCGUAGAUAUCUGGAGGAACACCGGUGGCGAAGGCGGCCACCUGGCCGGCAACUGACGCUGAGGUGCGAAAGCGUGGGGAUCAAAC
rnacentral:rRNA from 1 species